GGAGGUGUGGCUCAGUGCUAGAGUGCGUGCCUAGCAUGCACAAGGUCCUGGGUUCAAUCCUCAGUACCUCCA
rnacentral:tRNA from 1 species